rnacentral:rRNA from 1 species
GACGGAGGGUGCUAGCGUUGUUCGGAUUUACUGGGCGUAAAGGGCGCGUAGGCGGCCUGGUCAGUCGGGUGUGAAAGCCCGGGGCUCAACCCCGGAACGGCACCCGAGACGGCCAGGCUGGAGACCGGGAGAGGAGGGUGGAAUAGCCAGUGUAGAGGUGAAAUUCGUAGAUAUUGGCUGGAACACCGGUGGCGAAAGCGGCUCUCUGGCCCGGUUCUGACGCUGAGGCGCGAAAGCUAGGGGAGCGAACAGG